rnacentral:rRNA from 1 species
UUGGAGGGCAAGUCUGGUGCCAGCAGCCGCGGUAAUUCCAGCUCCAAUAGCGUAUAUUAAAGUUGUUGCAGUUAAAAAGCUCGUAGUUGAAUUUCGGGGUUCUACCGUUGGUCGGGCUUUGUCUGUACGGGUGUGUAGAAUUUCUACCUUCUGGGGAACCAUCAUGCUAUUAAUUUAGCGUGGUGGGAAACCAGGACCUUUACCUUGAAAAAAUUAGUGUGUUCAAAGCAGGCUUAUGUCUGAAUACAUUAGCGUGGGAUAAUAGAAUAGGACGGUGGUCCUGUUUUGUUGGUUUCUGAAUCACCGUAAUGAUUAAUAGGGAUAGUUGGGGGCAUUAGUAUUCAAUUGUCAGAGGUGAAAUUCUUGGAUUUAUUGAAGACUAACUUCUGCGAAAGCAUUUGCCAAGGAUGUUUUCAUUAAUCAAGAACGAAAGUUAGGGGAUCGAAGACGAUCAGAUACCGUCGUAGUCUUAACCAUAAACUAUGCCGACUAGGGAUCGGACGAUGUUAAUUUUUCUUGACUCGUUCGGCGCCUUACGGGAAAC